rnacentral:rRNA from 1 species
UGGGGAAUUUUGCACAAUGGGGGAAACCCUGAUGCAGCGACGCCGCGUGAUUUAGAAGGCCUUCGGGUUGUAAAAAUCUUUUCUAUGGGAAGAAAAUGACAGUACCAUAGGAAUAAGGACCGGCUAAUUACGUGCCAGCAGCCGCGGUAAUACGUAAGGUCCGAGCGUUGUCCGGAAUCAUUGGGCGUAAAGGGUACGUAGGCGGGUAAGCAAGUUAGAAGUGAAAUCCUGUAGCUCAACUACAGUAAGCUUUUAAAACUGCUCAUCUUGAGAUAUGGAAGGGAAAGUGUAAUUCCUAGUGUAGCGGUGAAAUGCGCAGAUAUUAGGAGGAAUGCCGGUGGCGAAGGCGACUUUCUGGCCAUAAUCUGACGCUGAGGUACGAAAGCGUGGGUAGCAAACAGG